CGCAAGCCUGACGGAGCAAGACCGCGUGAGGGAGGAAGGCUCUUGGGUUGUAAACCUCUUUUCUCAGGGAAGAAGCUCUGACGGUACCUGAGGAAUCAGCCUCGGCUAACUCCGUGCCAGCAGCCGCGGUAAUACGGAGGAGGCAAGCGUUAUCCGGAAUUAUUGGGCGUAAAGCGUCCGCAGGUGGCGAUUCAAGUCUGCUGUCAAAGCACGGGGCUUAACUCCGUAAAGGCAGUGGAAACUGAAGGACUAGAGUGCGGUAGGGGCAGAGGGAAUUCCCGGUGUAGCGGUGAAAUGCGUAGAUUUCGGGAAGAACAUCGGUGGCGAAAGCGCUCUGCUGGGCCGCAACUGACACUCAGGGACGAAAGCUAGGGGAGCG
rnacentral:rRNA from 1 species